rnacentral:rRNA from 1 species
AUACGGAGGGCGCAAGCGUUGUUCGGAAUCAUUGGGCGUAAAGCGCGUGUAGGCGGCUUGGCAAGUCGGGUGUGAAAUCCCGGGGCUCAACCCCGGAACUGCAUUCGAAACUGCCUCGCUGGAGUCCCGGAGAGGAGAGCGGAAUUCCCGGUGUAGAGGUGAAAUUCGUAGAUAUCGGGAGGAACACCAGCGGCGAAGGCGGCUCUCUGGACGGUGACUGACGCUGAGACGCGAAAGCGUGGGGAGCAAACAGGAUUAGAAACCCCAGUAGUCC